GAAGCGGCAACAGCUCAAAUUUGAAAUCUGGCCCUAGCGGUCCGAGUUGUAAUUUGUAGAGGAUGCUUUAGGUGCGGUACCUUCUGAGUUCCCUGGAACGGGACGCCAGAGAGGGUGAGAGCCCCGUACGGUGGGAUACCAAGCCUAUGUAUAGCUCCUUCGACGAGUCGAGUAGUUUGGGAAUGCUGCUCUAAAUGGGAGGUAUAUUUCUUCUAAAGCUAAAUACCGGCCAGAGACCGAUAGCGCACAAGUAGAGUGAUCGAAAGAUGAAAAGCACUUUGAAAAGAGGGUUAAAUAGCACGUGAAAUUGUUGAAAGGGAAGCGUUUGCGACCAGACCUUUUCCAGGCGGAUCAUCCAGCGUUCUCGCUGGUGCACUUCGCCUGGUUUAGGCCAGCAUCGGUUCUCUUAGGGGGAUAAAGACCAGGGGAACGUGGCUCCUUCGGGAGUGUUAUAGCCCCUGGUGUAAUACCCUUCAGGGGACCGAGGACCGCGCUUCGGCUAGGAUGCUGGCGUAAUGGUCGUCAACGACCCGUCUUGAAACACGGACCAAGGAGUCGAACAUUGGUGCGAGUGUUUGGGUGUUAAACCCUCACGCGUAAUGAAAGUGAACGGAGGUGAGAGCCCGUACGGGUGCAUCAUCGACCGAUCCUGAUGUCUUCGGAUGGAUUUGAGUAAGAGCAUCACUGUUCGGACCCGAAAGAUGGUGAACUAUGCGUGGAUAGGGUGAAGCCAGAGGAAACUCUGGUGGAGGCUCGCAGCGGUUCUGACGUGCAAAUCGAUCGUCAAAUCUGCGCAUGGGGGCGAAAGA
rnacentral:rRNA from 1 species